CAGGGUGUGUGACUGGCUGACCAGAGGUGCAAGCACUCUGUUCCCCCCGUGGGCCACCUAGUCACCACCCCUC
ensembl:miRNA MIR134 microRNA 134